ACUGAUGUCCUAGUCUGAACUUGCACCUUCUUCACUUUCUUCUUCUUGUUCUUGUUCCCUUUUUUAAAGGGUCGAGAACCAGAAGACAAACCUCCCACUAAGUUCACCGACUCCUUGUGGAGUUGGUGAUCCUUCUCAAAGUUCUGAAGCAACCUCAGUAACCUGUGGUAGUUCACUUCAGGCUUUGUCAUUCUAUAAUG
rnacentral:lncRNA from 1 species